UCUCUAGGAGGAUGGAAGUUCUCUUAUUCCCAGGUGAUGUCACAGAAGGAAUGAGGAGCUCCCUCACUGGGGCAUGAGCCUGGCAGCAGGUUAAACAGCCCCCCAGAGGCACCUGCAGGAGUUAAUGAAUCUUCCCAAGAGCCUUGUUCAUCCUGGAGAGAGAUUUGAGUACCAGAGAGAAUAGUUACUCAUGUAGAGCCCCAGAUAUGUUACAGGGAUUGUUGAAUAUAAAUUCAAGGUCUAAUAAUUUUUAUUGUCUAUUAACAGCUGAGAUAUUGAAGAGCCAGAUAUUUGUUUGUAAUAGGAUUUUUUUAGUGUCACUUUAAUGAAAGUGAACUAUGCUGGAUGCCAUAUGUGUUACAAAGAUUAGAAAAUCACACCUUUCUCUGAUGGCACACAGUGCAGUGGGGGAUGAGGAAAGCAUCAGAGAGGAAGGAAGAAGGAGGGAAUAAGACAGAUCCUUGGCACAGCUUGCUUCCACCUGGAAUGCUCCUUCUGGACUGCUCUUUCCCAUCUAGUCUUCAUAUCCUUGGUUGAGUGUCCCUUCCCAGAGAUUUGCAUUUUAGAAGUACCUCUCUAGCGUAGCAUAAAGGAUGGAUUGAAAGGAGCAAACAGGAGCUCUAUGAUGAAUUAAAUUAAAGAGCAUUUGUGAAACAGUGGUGUGUAGAGCACCCGAAAGGUGUCAUGGUAAUUUGCCUUAACCUUUCUGAGACUGCUCUUGAACAAAGAAAAAUUACCAGGAAUUGAAUUUAUGGAUUACGAGAACUCUGAUGUUAUAUAAAGCAGCCUACUUUAGCUUGCUGGGUGAUUAGAGACAUGUGACUUUGUCUCCCCUGUUACCAUCAGUGAAUCAUAAGACAUAUGAAUGAGAACAUUCAAAACCAGUCAUCUCCAACGGGCCUGUAACUAACCACAGACCCAAGAGCAAGUUCAGCCAAGAUCAACCAAGCUUGGCCUAGAGCUAAAGAACUACUCAGCUUACUCCAGGACAAACUGCCAAAGCACCAA